rnacentral:misc_RNA from 1 species
GCUUCUAUGUGGAGUCUACAACUUCAUACAGUCUCAGUUCCGGUACCACUUGAGGCAUUCUGGAGGUAUAAUAGUACUAGGAAGAGGACCUUCAAGAAGCUUAACAUAGUUGCUAAUGGUGAUGCCAAGAAUUCGAAGAAUCUUCCGCACCAAAUUAUGGUUGUCAAGUCCAACAAGCCCAAUUUACCUGUUCUACUUCAAGACGCUGUUACCAAAUUACAAGAGAGCGUCAAAUCUAUACCUCCCCCUUCCCUCCUGGUAAAGAAACAUUCUGGUGUUAGUUUACCAAUUGCACUGUCUACCAUGGUCACCUUGUUGGUUAUUAUACUGAGGAAUUAUGUUGCAAAAAGGUCAAAACCCAACCGCCCUGGGUCUGUAGCUGAUCUUGUUAGGCGUGGGCAAUUAAGAUCGGAUAGAAGAGGCAUAUCA